ensembl:lncRNA
GUUAUUAUUACCAAGUACACGUCCUCUCUCAGAAUAUAACAGAAUAGAACUCGAUACAGAAGCAUAUGGAAGUCAGUAAAUGUAACAAAAAGACACAGCUCAAUAAAUGUUGAGCUUUACAUUACAUCAAAAAUGCUCUAAUUGUAAUUAAAACAAGUAUUCAGUGACGAUUCUUUCUAUCAAUGUUAAAAGAAAAUUCACUGCAUCACCACUUUUAACGUUUAUUUCAGCAAGGCAUUAGAAACUCAAUUAUACAGGCAUGACACACAAAUACAUAAAACCAACAGUAGCACUUUAUUUUACACUAUGCUACAUCCCUUGUAUUUAAUAGGUGAGUUUGUGGUAAUUAAAUAUAAUUAAUGGUAUAUAUGCAUCCUUUUAAAGUGAACUUUGAAAGUAAGUUUUUUUUUUUUUUUUUUUUUUUUUUUUUUUUAAAUACACUCACGUUUGUACAGCAGUACUUUAAGCCACAAUACAAUAUCAGAGCUGAACAGAUUUUACUGGACUUACAUGCAAUGCCUAAUGCAUACAUUUUAAGAUGAAUAUACUGUAUAAAAUACAGACUACAAUCAUCAGCCACUUGUAUAAAUCAAGAGCUACAGUUAAUGCUCACAUCAAACAUCAGAACGGGGGAAAAUUUGAUCUCAGCGACAUCAAAUUUUUCUCAGUGGCAGGCUCCCUGCAAUGGGACAGCUGAAGAAUGGAAAAAGACCUUUCGUAUACUGUAGCGUUCAAUACGGUUUAGUAUUUUUCCCCACAUUGGACACAUUGCACUCAAAUUAUUACUUGUAAGAAUGAUAAGUACUGCUGAACAAACCAAGUAUUUAUUAUUUAUUUUUUUAAUAUAAGUUACUAUGCAGUUCAAUCUUGAAUCACCAUGUACAAACCUAUUAAAUACAAAGUAUUUGCAACACUGUGCAAUAAAGUACAACCAAAACAUGAUAUAAACACAAAAAGCUUGCAAAACAAACAUAUCCCAUUCCCCUAUGGAAAAAGUGUACAGUAAAAACCUCUCCGACGUCCACACUUUCAUGCUGUCCUGCAUACCUGACUUUAACGAAGGAAGGGGUGAAAAGAGGGAUGGAGAGAUUAACAUGGUGUAUCAGACAUAACGUUUGUUAUUUAAAAAAAAAAAAAAAAAAUUGUAAUAAACAUGUUCAGUAAUGACACAUUUGGAAAUGCCCUUGAGUACCUCACUGACGUUUAGCCUUUCACAAAACGACAAUAUCAUCCUAAUUACUCGAUGACAAAUUGAUUUUGCGUAAUAUCAGUCUCUUGAGACUGGUAAUAGCAUGUCGGCUGAUCCAAAUGCUGGAAAAUGGGUCCCUUGAUAUCUGCAGAGAUAGAGGAGUGUUGAGAUCUAACCGCAUGCUUUAUUUUAUAUAUAUAUAUAUAUAUAUAUAUAUAUA